CAACUGUGGGAAGCAUUGGAGUCAACAUGAGCCAGCAUUCCUGUUGAAUGCUUUCGACACCUUGUAGAGUCCAUGUCAAACGAAUAGAGGCUGUCCUGAGGGCAACUCCGUGCGGGGGGGGAGGGGGGUAUGAAUGCAUAUCCUACAUAAAUGGGCUCAGUGAUGUGACCAAUCAGUUGAUUCAGAUUGUUUGACUGUUUUCCUCUGUUGUUCCUUGUUUCCUCCAGCCACACCUGAGCCUCCAUUGAACCCCACUAUCCUAGGCCUGGCAGCAGGAGGCGCUGUGUCAUUAUCUGGCCUGUCUCUGGCUGCAUGGCUCCUCAAACGAAUCAGACAGAAAGCUAACAAGUUUGAUCUGAACAGCACCUCAGACAUUGAGGAACCUUUACAGACCUACAGGAACAGCAUCGACAGCCUGAUAUAGAGACCAGCAGGAACAACAGCAGGAA